rnacentral:rRNA from 1 species
UACAGAGGGUGCUAGCGUUAAUCGGAAUUACUGGGCGUAAAGGGCGCGUAGGUGGAUAGGUGUGUUGGAUGUGAAAUCCCCGAGCUUAACUUGGGAAAGUCAUUCAAAACUACUUGUCUAGAGUGCAGUAGAGGGAAGUGGAAUUUCCGGUGUAGCGGUGAAAUGCGUAGAUAUCGGAAGGAACACCAGUGGCGAAGGCGGCUUCCUGGACUGUAACUGACACUGAGGCGCGAAAGCGUGGGGAGCAAACAGG